UACGGAGGGGACUAGCGUUGUUCGGAAUUACUGGGCGUAAAGCGCACGUAGGCGGAUUUGUAAGUCAGGGGUGAAAUCCCGGGGCUCAACCUCGGAACUGCCUUUGAUACUGCAAAUCUCGAGUCCGGAAGAGGUGAGUGGAAUUCCUAGUGUAGAGGUGAAAUUCGUAGAUAUUAGGAAGAACACCGGUGGCGAAGGCGGCCCACUGGAUCGGUACUGACGCUGAGGUGCGAAGCGUGGGGAGCAAACGG
rnacentral:rRNA from 1 species